AUGGCCGAGGCGGUACUCAUUGUUGUGACGAAGAUUGGUGACAUUUUACUAGAAGAAGCCACCAAAGGCAUCAUAGCUAAGCUUUCUGAAAAAGUUACUAAUCUGAAGGAACUGCCAGUAAAGGUUGAGGAAAUAAAGAAGCAACUGACCAUGAUGGGCAAUGUUAUAAGGCAGAUAGGCACGGUAUACCUCACGGAUGACGUUGUCAAGAGUUGGAUUGGGGAUGUCCGCAGGGUGGCCUAUCAUGUUGAAGAUGUAAUGGAUAAAUACUCAUACAACCUUCUUCAACUUCAGGAAGAAGGGUUCCUGAAGAGAUUCUUCAUCAAAGGAACACAUUAUGUCAGAGUUUUCAGUGAAAUUACGGAUGAGAUAGUUGAGGUAGAGAAGGAGAUUCAACUAGUUAUAAAGAUGAAAGAGCAGUGGUUGCAGCCCUCCCAGCUUGCCGCUAACCCACUUACUGAGAUGGAAAGGCAGCGGUCCCAAGACAGCUUCCCUGAAUUUGUCAAAGAUGGAGAUCUAGUAGGAAUUGAAAACAACAGGAUAUGGCUGACCAGCUUGCUGUACUCCGAAGAGCCAGAGUCAGAGAAUACCGUCAUAACAGUAUCUGGCAUGGGUGGGUUGGGGAAAUCUACCCUUGUUUCAAAUGUUUAUGAACGUGAAAAGAUCAACUUCCCUGCACAUGCAUGGAUCGUUGUGUCACAAGUUUACACUGUUGAUGCCCUGUUGAGGAAGCUACUAUGGAAGAUCGGAUAUACCGAACAACCAUUGUCAGCAGGUAUUGACAAAAUGGAUGUGCAUGACUUGAAGAAGGAAAUACAGGAGAGACUUCAAAACAGAAAGUAUUUGAUUGUACUGGAUGAUGUCUGGGAGCAAGAUGUAUACUUCCAGAUACAUGAUGCUCUCCAGGAUCUCCCGGGAAGUCGGAUCAUCAUUACGACCCGGAAGGACCAUGUCGCCGGAAUUUCUUCUCCCAACCGUCAUCUUGAGCUCGAGCCAUUGAGCAAGUCUGAUGCAUUUGACCUCUUCUGUAGAAGGGCCUUUUACAACCGGAAGGGCCACAUGUGCCCCAAGGAUCUUGAGAUGAUUGCUACUUCUAUAGUUGACAGGUGUCAUGGUCUACCUCUAGCAAUUGUUACCAUUGGUGGCAUGUUGUCUUCAAGACAACGAUUAGACAUUUGGACUCAAAAGUACAAUCAGCUUCGAAGCGAGUUGUCAAACAAUGAUCAUGUCCGAGCAAUUUUCAAUCUGAGCUACCAUGACCUUCCAGACGACCUCAAAAACUGUUUUUUAUACUGCAGUCUAUUCCCUGAAGACUAUCACAUGUCACGUGAAAGCCUUGUGCGACUGUGGGUUGCUGAAGGCUUUGUGGUAAGAAAAGAAAAGAACACGCCAGAGAUGGUAGCUGAGGGAAAUCUCAUGGAAUUGAUCCACCGCAAUAUGCUUGAGGUUGUGGAGAAUGAUGAGCUUGGUAGAGUUAGCACCUGUAAGAUGCAUGAUAUUGUGCGUGAACUAGCUAUUUCUGUUGCUAAAGAAGAGAGAUUUGCUUCAGCAGAUGAUUACGCCACAAUGAUAUUGGUACAGCAGGAUAAGGAUGUUCGUCGCCUGUCAUUAUGUGGAUGGAAAGACGACACUGCAGUGAAAGUUAAACUUCCACAUCUUCGAACAGUACUGUCACUUGGACCAACUUCACCCUGCCGUGGCAUGUUAUCUUCUAUUUUGUCAGAAUCCAACUACCUUGCUGUUCUUGAGCUGCAAGACUCUGAAAUCACUGAAGUGCCAACAUCAAUAGGGUCUAUGUUCAAUCUACGUUACAUCGGGCUACGGCGCACCAAGGUCAGAUCACUUCCAGACUCCAUUGAAAAUUUGUCUAACCUCCACACUCUGGACAUCAAGCAAACCCAAAUAGAGAAGCUACCACGAGGGGUUGUCAAGAUCAAGAAGCUGCGGCACCUUUUGGCCGACAGAUAUGCUGAUGAGAAGCAGGCAGAGUUCCGGUACUUUAUUGGAGUGCAAGCACCGAAAGAGCUAUCCAACUUGGAAGAACUGCAAACUCUCGAGACUGUGGAGUCCAACCCUGACUUGGCAGAGCAGCUGAAGAAACUGAUGCAACUAAGAAGUGUGUGGAUUGAUAACAUUAGUGCUGACGACUGUGCAAAUCUGUUUGCUACCCUGUCAACUAUGCCACUCCUUUCGAGCUUGCUUCUUUCUGCAAGGGAUGCGAAGGAGGCGCUUUGCUUUGAGGCUCUCAAACCAAAUUCUACAUAUCUACACAGGUUGAUUACCAGAGGACAAUGGGCCAAGGGAACACUAAAUUGCCCGAUCUUUCUUAAACAUGGGAUAAACCUCAAGUAUCUAGCUAUAAGCUGGUGUCACGUUGGGGAAGAUCCACUGGGGAUGAUGGCACCGCACAUGCCGAACCUCACAUAUCUUAGACUAAACAACAUGCACAGUGCAAAAACUUUGGUUCUGUCUAAAGACUCCUUUCCCAACCUGAAGACGCUUGUCUUAAAGCACAUGCAUGAUGUCAGUGAGCUAAAAAUCGUUGAUGGUGCUCUUCCCUGCAUUGAUGGUUUGUACAUUGUGUCGCUGUCGAAGCUCAAUAAAGUCCCCCAAGGCAUUGAAUUUCUUCGCUCCCUUAAGAAGCUAUGGCUGCUGAGCUUGCACAAGGAUUUCAGAACUCAAUGGGACACUGAAGGGAUGCAUCCGAAGAUGGUACAUGUUCCAGAGCUUCGUGUCUAG
rnacentral:rRNA from 1 species